rnacentral:rRNA from 1 species
AGAAUCAACGCUGGCGGCGUGCCUAAUACAUGCAAGUCGAACGCGAAAGUCCCGCAAGGGGCAAGUAGAGUGGCAAACGGGUGAGUAACGCGUGGGCGACCUACCUUCGAGUGGGGGAUAACCUUCCGAAAGGAGGGCUAAUACCGCAUGACAUCCCGUGUUUGGAUACACGGACAUCAAAGUCGGGGAUCGCAAGACCUGACGCUUGGAGAGGGGCCUGCGUCCGAUUAGCUAGUUGGUGGGGUAACGGCCCACCAAGGCUUCGAUCGGUAU